rnacentral:rRNA from 1 species
ACGGGGUGCAGCAGGCGCGAAAACUUUACACUACACGAAAGUGUGAUAAGGGAAUUCCAAGUGUGCUUAUACCAUAAGCACUUUUUCGGAGCGCAAAAAGCUCCGGGAAUAAGGGGUGGGCAAGACUAGUGCCAGCCGCCGCGGUAAAACUAGCAUCUCGAGUGGCAGUCACAAUUAUUGGGCUUAGAGCGUCCGUAGCUCGUUCGGAAAGUCUCUGGUGAAAUCCUACGGCUUAACCGUAGGGCGCGCCGGAGAAACUACCGAGCUAGAGGGCAGGAGAGGUCGGGGGUACGUCUGGGGUAGGGGUGAAAUCCUAUAAUCCUAGACGGACCAACAGUGGCGAAGGCGCCCGACAUGAGUGCGCCUGACAGUGAGGGACGAGAGCCAAGAGCGCGAAACGGAUUAGAUACCCGUGUAGUCUUGGCCGUAAACGAUGCCGACUAGGUGGGGUGUGACCUUAGUGGUCAUGCUAUGCCGAAGGGAAACCGUUAAGUUGGCCGCCUGGGGAGUACGCUCGCAAGGGUGAAACUUAAAGGAAUUGGCGGGGGAGCAC